rnacentral:lncRNA from 1 species
GGGCUGUUUUGAGUAGUAUAAUCUUCUGAACUGCAUAGCUACUGAUGUUGCCUGGAAUAUGGUUGAUGAACUUUUCCAUUCCCUUUUUCUUAAUAAUAAUAAUAAUAAUAAUAAUAAUUAUUAUUAUUAUUAAGUAGUGGAAUGAUGGCUGUCAUGCUGUGUUUAGUUAUGUCUCCAACUUUGCAGGGUUUUGUCUCCUUUUGAAGUUGUUGUUGUUACUGUUGAACCCCGGUCCAGCCUUGACUGAACGAACCUAUGAUUGAUCAAAGACAUUCCAACAAUGGCCAUCCCAUCUUUUACCAAAGCACAAUGUACCUAAGCCUACAUUAGUCAAUAUAGCACUUGUGUUUUUUUUUUUUUUAAAAGACACUAGGGUGUGAUUUGAGGGAGAUUAUAUACUUAUUAUGUAGCAGAGUGCAAAGAGCUAGAACAAACGCUGUAAAGCAUUUUUUUCUGACGUUCUACUCACAUGUGUUUUCUGACAUUCUACUCAUGAAUACACACACACAAACAGACACAGAUGCAUGUACAUACACAACAUAUUAAAAUAAAUUUAUU